AGUGAACGCUGGCGGUAGGCCUAACACAUGCAAGUCGAACGGCAGCACAGUAAGAGCUUGCUCUUACGGGUGGCGAGUGGCGGACGGGUGAGGAAUACAUCGGAAUCUACUUUUUCGUGGGGGAUAACGUAGGGAAACUUACGCUAAUACCUCAUACGACCUACGGGUUAAAGCAGGGGAUCUUCGGACCUUGCGCGAUUGAAUGAGCCGAUGUCGGAUUAGCUAGUUGGCGGGGUAAAGGCCCACCAAGGCGACGAUCCGUAGCUGGUCUGAGAGGAUGAUCAGCCACACUGGAACUGAGACACGGUCCAGACUCCUACGGGAGGCAGCAGUGGGGAAUAUUGGACAAUGGGCGCAAGCCUGAUCCAGCCAUACCGCGUGGGUGAAGAAGGCCUUCGGGUUGUAAAGCCCUUUUGUUGGGAAAGAAAAGCAGCAGGUUAAUACCCCGCUGUUCUGACGGUACCCAAAGAAUAAGCACCGGCUAACUUCGUG
rnacentral:rRNA from 1 species